AUACGUAGGGGGCGAGCGUUGUCCGGAAUGAUUGGGCGUAAAGGGCGCGUAGGCGGCCCGGUAAGUCUGGAGUGAAAGUCCUGUUUUUAAGAUGGGAAUUGCUUUGGAUACUGCAGAGCUUGAGUGCGGAAGAGGUAAGUGGAAUUCCCAGUGUAGCGGUGAAAUGCGUAGAGAUUGGGAGGAACACCAGUGGCGAAGGCGACUUACUGGGCCGUAACUGACGCUGAGGCGCGAAAGCGUGGGGAGCGAACAGGAUUAGAUACCCUGGUAGUCCACACUGUAAACGAUGAAUGCUAGGUGUAGGGGGUAUCGACCCCUUCUGUGCCGCAGUCAACACAAUAAGCAUUCCGCCUGGGGAGUACGGCCGCAAGGUUGAAACUCAAAGGAAUUGGCGGGG
rnacentral:rRNA from 1 species